AGCCGCAGCCCUGGCGAAUUAGCUCUCUGUGCCCACGUGUCAGCAUUGUAGAACAACAUGAACAACAUCCCAGUAACACACGGAUGGUCCUCUCCAAUCUGCAGAUGAGAAAACUGAGGCCCAGAGAGCGAAGAAACUCAGCUGAAGAUAAGAGUGAUGUGCUCCAGGCGGUACCUGAGGAGAUUAUCUAGCAUGUCUAAUAGAGCAACAAGUCAUGUCCCGUGGCUCCACGCCUGCCAUUCCACAGCACACCAAAAUCAACCACAAGCCUGUGCUGCCAGCCUCACCCAUGUCAAGGGUGGAGAUGGGGCCAUUGCUCUCGCCCUGUGUUUCUGCAGCCCUCUGUGCUGUCUUCACCACAGGACUGGAAGCUCUGGGGGGGCAGUGCAGAACUCAUUUGACUUGGGCACUAUAUUGGACACUCAGAAUUUACCGUAGUUCUGCACAGAGCAGGCACGCUGUGGGCAUGCGCAGAAGGAAGGAAUAAGUACAUCAGAUGUUAGACUGUGUGCAUGGGUGUCAUGUAGUUUAGUGAAUUUCUGUGGCGAUACGGUGCUCCCAUGAGGUCAGGGAUCCACAGAUUGGAAAUCAUGGAUUUACAUUUACAUUAUGUGCCCAGUGUUUUGUGCCAUGUUCAUCAUAGAGAACUUUGUGUUCAGUAGACCACAAACUCGGCUCUGGGGGCAGACAAUUGAUGGCAGGGCCUAGAUGUCCUUUCCAACAUGGAAAGUCCAAGGAGAGGACAGAACGCUUUGCUUUCAAGAAGGCUGCAACUUCCUGACGCCCACGGGACAGGCAUGCUGAUGACAGCUUCUCUCAAGAGCCAGCUUCUAACAUUUGUAGGAGCAAAACAUAAGAUAAUCUGCAGGAGCCCGUAGGCAGUCUGGUUGUUAUUUCAACCCAAAACAGGCCUGCAAACUUACUUUGCCUGUUUCCUCUGUCAACGUAUUUGUGUGGAGUGUUGAUAACCGAAGUGACACACAGUAAAUAGCCUUUGUUUUGUAAGACAUUUGCUGUGAGUGGGGUUGAGCAGGGAAAUAUAGGAGUUGAAAGAAAGAAUGCAUGGUCUAAAAUAUGUGCCUGUGUAUGUGCCUCACAGUGUGUGUGAACAUUUAAACGCCGACAUCUCUCUUCCCUCUUUAGUUAACAGCUUCUUUGCUUGAUGCUCCCGGUUCCUUUUUAUAGUCUCCAAACAAAGAGGAACCUAUACUCCAGGUGUGCACAAAUCAAGCAGGUUUCCUAUUUAAGAUUCAGAAAUUCAUAGCCCUGAGGAAAUGAGUUAAAGAGAGGAGAGGACAGAGCAAGAGACAUGAAAAACAGAAUCUUCACCACCUGCUAUUUAGUGAUUAGCUCCCCGAUAAGCAAGGCAGAGAAGCAUUCCAGGAGCUCAGGGCUUGCCCAGGCAGGGCUCAGAGAAGGAGGUCUCGGAGACAGAAGCUGGGAGAUGGAGGGGAGGAGGGCUCCUAAAGCAUCUGCUCUCGCUUCUCUCCCCAGCUCCUCCAUUUCACACAGCUCUUACAUAUUUGAGUCCUCUUUCUAUUCCCCUUACCUCACCUGCCUUGGUGUAGGGAAGGGAAUCUGCUAAAGACUAGCUCUGCCACCAUCUGGCUGCGUGACCUGAGCAAAUCACUUGCCUUCUCAGAUGCAGAUCUAGUGGCUACAGUCUCUUGAAUUGAAAUAACUAAAUUCAAAAGCAUAUGAAAAAAGCCAAGGACAACAACCCCACCUCCUGAUUUUAAAAAAAUUCCAUAAUGCUGGGCAGCAGGAACCCGGAGAGCCCGUGGGUGAGCUGCUGCCUUGCCCUCCAGCUCCUGCCCUGCCCUCCAGCUCCUGCGUGUGUGCACACUCACCUGCAGGGGGUGGGGGAACCAUUGUGGAAAGCGUGCACUUACCAGUGCCAGAGAAGCAGGGUACGUGGUUAUGGUGCCUGCCGUUCUCAGGAGAAAGGGUGAAGACGUUUUCUGCAGAGCCUCCCUUUGUGUGCACGGCCCUUGUGGCCACAACAUGGCCCCAGGUUCUGGACAGAGGGUACAAGGAGCCGUGGGCUUGUUGGGGCUGCAGGGCCUCUUUCCCCAUUAGCUGCCCCUGCUCCCUUUGUUCUUGGGGUGCGUGUGUCAUAUCCCUGACAACAGCCCUGUGUUCAGGUUUUCCAGUGUGGUAAAGUCAGUGCUUGGCCUUCUGGCCCCUAGAGUAGGUACCAGGAGCCAUCAAGCCUGGAGAGAUACAAGCCUGGGUUACUUAUUCACCCCAAUUUUCAUUUUGUAUUGUCUCCCAUAAAAAAAUAAAUGUGGAGCCAUGAACAAGUAUGCUAACGUAGAACAUAAAUACUCUGGUGAUUAAAAACUGGAAAUCACCAGCUUUGAAAUUUCUCAAAAAAUAUAGCCACAGAUGUCACCCAAAUGUCAGUCACACACGGCUGUAAAACCCAGACUGUAGACAUCGCCUUGUGAAGAGAUCCCAGAUGCAGCCGCUGGAGAAAUUCUCACAGCUUAGACAAGCUAGAUUUCUGCUUCAAUUCCUUCUUCCUGUCUUUUUUUUUUUUUUUUGAGGGGAGGGGAGGGGUUGUACAUCAAACUAUUCAUUUCAAUAUGUAAUUUGCCUCAAAGAAUUUAUUUCUGGCUUAAUUUAUUUUCUCACCAACCUAAAUCCAAUUCAAAAAGCAUUUCUUGAAGCCUGAACAAUCUGCUUUUGGUUGACGAGUGCUAAUAGGUGCAAUGCUACCCUGUCAGCUUAUGAGGACACCUGCUGAGCUCAGAGCCACACAGGGAAAAAUUAAACUAGAGUUUGAAUUUGUUUCCAUCUGAAAUCUUGAGUCAUAGCUGGACAUGUAUGAGACACAAUGAGAAACAAAUUGCAUUGUGGAUUCAUUUUUUGUUUACAAAGGGAAAGACUUAAAAAUUCCAAGUUGGAAGAUGUUCACGCCUUGGAUAUGCCUGUAUGACAGAGGGAAUAUAUCUGCAGGAAAGAAUGAAUGAUGUAAAAAAGCCUUUUUUCAACACCUCUUUGCUAAUUCUUGGAGUAAACAAAUACUUCCAGUAAAAUAUGACUCUUAUAAUUGGUUUUGGAUUCUGAUUUUCUGAUUUCUUUUUUCCAGGCCACCAGCCUCUCUAUUCUUUUGGGUUGCAUAGAUGGGUAGAUUCCCCGGAAAAACUUAACAACAUGGUACUAUUUUUAGUUUGAGAACACUUGAUGAAGGUCUUUAAUAGGUAGGAGGCAAGAGUCGCUGUGUGUGUGCACACUUCCGUCCGUGUCUGUGUAUAGCACUGAAACUGAGCGUCACUACUAAUCCUUUGUGCUGGGGAUGGAACCCAGGGCCUUGUACAUGCUAAGCACAAACUGCCACUGAGCUACCUCCUCAGCCCUACUAACUAGAUCCAGAAUGAAUCAGAUGACAUGGUCAAGAGGGUUGGCCCAAUACCGCCUCUUUCUCUCCUUGAUCUGAGCUUUACAAAGAGAAUGUCACCAUUAAACAUGAACAUUCUGGACAUCACUGGCCAACAGUCUCCUGGUGGAAGAUGAUUUCUUCCUCUGACUCUGUGCAGACCAUUUCUCCUACAUCUGUAAGGCCCAGAGUCCAAGUUUUCUGUGCCUCCAUUCAUUGAGGUACGCCGUAGGGAACAGUGGAGUGCCACCUCUGCCAUCCAGUCCUCCAGGCUACUACAAAGAACGGAGCGGUUGAGGCCCUAACCUCACGGGGCUCACUUUCCUGUGAGAAGACAGUGAAUAAACAAAAUAAAUAAGAUAAUCUGAACUCUCAGCAAUUAUCAUGAAGGUUGAAAAGGCAGAGGGAUGUGAUGGUCAACAGCUGUGUGUUGGCACUAUGUGGGUAGACAGAAGAGCAGUGUCCCCUGAGAAGGUGACCGGGGAUAGCCAAGUGGCCAGAGGUAGGGGCCAUGCAGGGGAAAGAGCUGCACGGAGGAGAAAGAGGGAAGGGCAGCACCCAAGAGGGCCAAGUUUGGCAUGACCAUCCAUCCUAUGGAGGAGAUUUUCUUGACC
rnacentral:lncRNA from 1 species